UUUUUUUUUUUUUUUUCUUUCAGGGCCACACCUGCGGCAUAUGGAGGUUCCCAGGCUAGGGGUCCGAUCGGAGCUGUAGCUGCUGGCCUCCGCCACAGCCACGGCAACACCAGAUCCAAGCUGCAUCUGCGACCUACACCACAGCUCACGGCAAUGCCGCAUCCUUAACCCACUGAGUGCGGCCAGGGAUGGAACCUACGUCCUCAUGGACUCUAGUCAGGUUUGUUAACCACUGAGCCACAACGGGAAUGCCAGAUCCUUCUGAUUCUUAACCAUUUAAAUGCAGGGCUUCCCAAGCUAUUUUAUUAUUGCUCUGAAUAAGUUUCAAACAAUUUUCCUGGAAUUUCACGGAUGGCAAGGUCUAGAGAGGGAGAAAGCGCAGUAAAAAGUUUGCAGAAAAAGGAGACAGAAGCUGUGACGCUAAACUUCACCUGCUUUGUAAUUUUGCUUUUUCUCUGUUACUGUUUCCUUGUUAAAGUGCCCUUAGUAAAAGAGUCUGUUCUCCUACCACUUAUGAAAAAUACUGAAAGGCAGUGACGGUUUGUGAAAAAUCAUCCCUCUUAGACCAUCACACAAGUAUGAUCAAACUUGGACUUCCCCCUGCCAACCAGGAUAACCAAAUUACCACUGGCAAAAUCCUACCAUUACACACACACACACUGCAAUACAAAUUGUGAAGGUCCUUCUGAGUCACUGUGGUUUUUUUCCUUUCUGAUGGCUAAACCCAGUGAGAACGCUCAUAGUUAAGACAAACCAUAAUUCCACUGCUUGUCCUAUCUGAAGCUAAAUAGUAUUCUGAUAAUUUGGAAUUUUUUCUCAAAAUAGCUCUCCUGAACUCUUUGGAUACUUUGUGACGUAUCCUUCCAACCACCUUGGUUUGUUAAUAGGAUUUGGAAUAUUGUUUGUUUGUUUGUUUUGCCUCUUAGGGCUGCAGGUGUGGCCUAUGGAAAUUCCCAGGCUAGGGGACGAAUGGUGGCUGCAGCUGCUGGUCUACACCACAUCGACAGCUAACACCAGAUCUGAGCUGUGUCUGCAACCUACACCACAGCUCACAGCCGGAUCCUUAACCCACAGAGCGAGGCCAGGGAUUGAACCCAUGUCCUCAUGGAUACUAGUCGGGUUCAUUACCGCGGAGCCACAACGAGAACACCCAGAAUUGGGAAGAUUUUUUAAAAUAAAGACCACACAUCAAAGCUCUGGGGGCUGUAGCCAUUGCAAUUGGCAAGGACAAAAGCAAGACUUAUCACGUCUGAAAAACUGUACCCUACUUUCAAGUUGUGAGGAGAGCAGAGACUGUGGGGCAGGAGUUCCCUAGACAGUGACACACAGACAGGUGUCUCCAGAUCAUGAGGGAAUAGAAGGCAAGGCCCCACGAACAAACAGUGCCCUGUCUCCAGGGAAUCACUUUCCCUUGGGGAAUGAGCCUAAUCAGGCUUUCUCUCUUCCUGACAUGAAACCCAAGGCACACACACACCCACGGAGUUUAAUUAUGUUAAGUCUAGAAGACUAAAGAGAGCGACUGAAUUUACCUUGGAGAUUAAGAGAGGGAUAAAAUGUUGAAGAGAUGACAUCCAUUCUUUGACGCUCAAAAAGCAUGGGUCUGAUGAGACAUUUCUCAUAUGACAGUAAGUGGUUUAUGGCUCUUUUGAAUAUAGCAGGUAUUGCUGGGUAUAGUCAGGAGACAGGGUGACACUGUCUUCACGUAAAAUGCCAAUGCUCGUGAAUCUCUAACUUAGGAACCACUUCCUCAGUUCCAAUUCGGAGUCGACAUGGAGCCCUUUAAGGUAGCAUUGGUGGAAGGUUCUAGAAUAUAACAAGAUUCCUGUACAGCUAUCAUUCACACAUCCAGUAUGUGAAGAGAUGUGCCCACAUCUCUUCACUGUCCUAUCCACACUGAAAAGACUCUUCCCCUUGGAAACUGAGCCCUGGCCCCCAACAACCCACUCUGCUCCCCUGGAAGAUAAACACACCCAAGAAGAAGGGAACUAGUUUACCCCAAAGGCACCUUUAGUGUCUUGUGGAAAAGGCUCUAUGCUGUUUUGUGUUCAGUUAGGUAACAGAAUUAGGCUAGGACAGAAAAGAGACAAAGGGAUAAAAGAGAUUAAAAAAAAAAAAAGAAGAAGAGAAUUCUAGUUACUCGUCAAAGCCAAUCUUCAAAGCUCCCUGGUUUUGGACUCCUUGAGCUGCUUUGGAGAGAAAAAGCGGUAUUUACAGGUUGUGAUUCUUUUUCUGAAACCACACACAAAGCAUGGUGGCCCUCCUACGGCACGGGCCACGUGUCAAGGGUGAAUUAUAACCCAACACAAUUAGAAAGGAUUCCUUGAGCACGGUUUCUAAUUGUCUGCACAGGAGACUGUGUCAUUACAAUGACAGUUGAUACCAUGAUGCAUAAACACAAAGCACUGAAGCUCAAAAUUAAUCUUCAUUUUGUCACAGAGGAAUUUGCAACUGUGCUCGAGGCACAUGAAGUGUGUCGUGUUUUGAGACAAACUUAAUGGCGGAUAUCUCACAAAGGACCAGGGAUUUGGGCUCCAGGUUACAUAAAGCGGUCCCAGCCACUCGGCAUCGCUAACGGAGGGAGAAUCAAUAUCUGUGGAACUGGAACAACACAAGCCGAUCUGUCGCAAGGGUGACCCUUCAAGAGUGCGACUAAUCCUGCACAGGAUGAAAAAUAGAGCUUUUUUUCACCAUUUGGAGACGAUCUGGAGGGGCAUGGCUUCCUCUGGGAGGCCAUCCAUAAAAGGACAGAGAGGAUGUUAGAGAGAGAACCCUGGUCAAAGCCUCAUUGUAUAGGUUGGGAUUGGGGGGAGGGAGCAAGCCGGGUUCACGCAAACCUACUUAAAACCCAGUCCAAGAAAAGGAUCUCUGAUCCCUAUCACAAGCCUAUGACAAUGUGGCCCCGGAGAUCAUGACGUGCUCACAACUGCAUCACGCACGGAGAAAGUGACUGGAGAACUGAAUUUUCCAUUCCUUUCUCUCGUCUUCUCACAGCGCCAUCAAGAGAGGGCGGUCCCAAGAGUCUGUGCACCCCAAGCAGAGGGAGCUCACAUCACAUGCAUGAGAAAAUGCUGCUUCCUUAGGCGAUAUGAGAAAGCAACAGGAAUUCCACGUGACACAGGGGAGCUAGGACACAGGGGGCGUGGAGAUGGAGGAGGGUGUGGCUUGGUAGGGGCGAUGGAAGGGAAGCAACUGCACUGGGAACGGAGGGCGGCAUCCAGAACCAAGCAGCUGCUGAACUGGGGUGUCUCAAACUCUGCUGUGUUUGGGAAUGCCCUGAGCAUCCUGCAAAAAUGCAGAUUCUGGGUCUGAGAUUCGACGUUUCUCCCACAUCCCAAGGGAGGCGAAGGCUGCUGGUCUGCUGACCACACUUCGAGUUUGCCAGGUUCUGAUCAUUCUUUUCGGCACCUCCGGGCACCUACCUCCAGCAGCUGACUUGCUUCUCGUGUUGACUUACAUGAAGCUGCUCCCAGCGCUGCUGCAGUCUCGGAACUGGCUGUAUGAUUUGGUUUACUAGUAAGAAAGGGUCGGGUGGAGAGUGACCGUUCCAAGGCUAGAGCUCUUGCAGGGCAGUUAGAGUCCACGGACUGUUAGACGACUGUCGGCUGAUGCCUCAGAGAGGCAGAAAGUUGUGACACGGUGGUUCCUAAACUGUGAAACUAUGACAAAAGCGCCGCAUACGCCUCCCAGAAAACUGCACACACGUUUUCCAGAUAAUUUCAAGGUUUUAAUAGAUCCCCUUGAAGCUGGUUCACUCUCACAAGGUUAAGAGGUUAAGAAUGUUGCCUGUCAACUCUCAGAACUUGUGUUUUGUUUGUGGGUUUUUUCCUUUUCUUUCCUUUUUGCUUUUUAGAGCUGCACCCAUGGCCUAUGGAGGUUCCCAGGCUAGGGGUCGAAUUGGAGCUACAGGUGCCAGCCCCAGCCCCAAGAAGCUACAGGUGCCAGCCCCAGCCAUGCAGAAUCUGGGCUGCAUCUGCGACCUACACCACAGCUCAUGGCAAUGCCAGAUCCUUAACCCACUGAUGGAGACCAGGGAUUGAACCUGCAACCUCUUGGUUCCUAGUCGGAUUUGUUUCUGCUGUGCUAAGACUGGAACUCCACAACUUGUGUCUGUAACCCAUAUUCCAAAAUAAAUACAGACAGCAACAUCUACAAAAAUAAAAACAAGUCUCGUUGCAGUGCAAUGUAUAAAUAUUCAACCAGUUAUUUAAGAAACGACCAGGGCCCUCCUCUCUGUUUCCAUCUCUCUGUGCACUAGUCACACCCAAACUCCACCGAGUUUUACAUGUUUUAAACAUGUCCAAUUGUUUUUACUAUCUCCUCACUGACAAAGCUUCACCACCAAUUAGAGAAAUAAAUUGGCCUAACGAAUGAAUUAUUAAAAUCCGCCUCUGCUGUUGCUGCCUUGAGAAUGAUCAUAUGCAUAUUCAAAGCACCGCCCUCAAGCCCCCAACCCACUUUCCAAGAGUUUAAACAGGCCUUGAAGAGGCCUUCUUCUCUGAUGACUGCCAGGUGCUGAAGAAAAAUUGCUUUUAGCUUCGCACUGGAUGAAACUCCAAUUAUAUGGCACUGGAGUGCAACGGAAAUUUCUGUAAUCUUCUCAGUAGCUGUAUUGAGACCUAAGGCAUGUGAUUUCAAACAUGUGAAACCAUAGCAAGGGUCUGUUUGGCCCACUCUGUAAUGUUGGGCUAUUAUCAUUGGUACGUCAGCAGGGAAUGAGAGAAGUAAGAAUCCUACAGAUGCCAUGGAGUUCCCAUGGUGGCUCAGCCAAAACAAACGGGACUAGCACUCAUGAGGAUGCGGGUUCAAUCCCUGGUCUUGCUCAGUGGGUUAAGGAUCCUGCAUUGCUGUGGCUGUGGUGUAGGCCAGCAGCUGCAGCUCCGAUGAGACCCCUAGCCUGGGAACUUCCAUAUGCCUUGGGUGCAGCCCUUAAAAAAGGCAAAACACAAACAAACAAAACAAAUAAAAAAAGAAUUGUACAGAUUCUGGGGCGUGAAUUGCUAUGGAGAUUCAGGAGCUGGCAAGAGAGGCAAUUCACUGCAAUGGAAGAAAGCUGCACAUGGGGUCAGGAAUUUGGGUCCCGAGCCUGCUUGGCUGGUUUGCUCGCUUUAUAAGCUUGGGCUGGACACUGUCCUUCCUUGAAUCUUAGUUUCCAGAUCUGUAAAACAGGGCUAAUAAUGUCUCUAUUUUAGGGCUGUUACAAGGGCCCCAUAAGAUUACAUAUGUAAAGUAUCUGGUAUGGUAUCUGGUGCUUUGUUAGUGUUCAAAAUGGUAGCAGUUGGAGCUCCCACUGGAGCACAGUGGAUUAAGGAUCAGGCAUUGUCUUUGCAGCGGCUCAGGUCACUGCUGAGAUGCCAGUUCAAUCCUGGGGGCCUGGCACAGUGGGUUAAAGAUCUGGCGUUGCUGCAGCUGUGCUAUAGGUCAUAGCUGUGGCUCGGAUUCAAUCUCUGGUCUGGAAAUUUCCAUGUGCCAUGGGUACAGCCAAAAAAACAUGGUAGCCGUCUAGCCCUACAAAGGAAAGAAGCACUGAGAUAUGCUACCUGGUGCAUGCACCUAGAAAACCUGCUAAGUGAAAGAAGCCAGACACAAAAGGUCACACGAAGCAUGAUUCAUUUUAUAGGAAAUGUCCAGAACAGGCAAAACCGCAGAAAGAAAAAGACUAGUGGUUGUUGGGGGCUGGGGGGACUGUUUAAAGGAUGCAGGGUUUCCUUUUGGGGCCAUGAAAAUGUUUCGGAACUAGUUAGAGGUGGCGAUGCACACCACUGUGAGUGUACUAAAAGCCACUGAAUUGUAUACUUCAAAAUGGUCAUUUUAUCCUAUGCGCAUACAUUAAAAAAUAAAAUUUUAUUAAUAAAAAAUGAGUGCUUGCUCAUCUAUUUCCCUCACACGCAGUGGACCAGCUUCUCUCUCUCUCUCUCUUUUUUUCUUUUUAGGGCUGCAGCUGCUGCACAUGGAAGUUCCUGGGCUCGGAGUUGAAUUGGAGCUGCAGCUGCCGGCCUACACCACAGCCUCAGCAAUGGCAGACCCAAGCCUCAUCUGCAAACUACACCACAGCUCACGGCCACGCCAGAUCCUUAACCCACUGAGCCACAACGAGAACUCCAAGAACCAGCUUUCUCUUUCAAAAAGAAAAGAAAAGGCCGUGGGUCCCUUUGCUUCUUGGCAGUUUUGACAUUUUCUGACGUGUUAUGUCCUUAAUGAAAUCCUUUUAUGAGUUAAGUCCUGUGCCGGCUGCCAUGGAGACACAAAGAAAAAAAUAAAAGACGGUGCCUGCCUUCAGAAAGUGUACUGCUAUGAAGGCAGGAAGAGACAGACUCAUGAGUUAUUUCAACAAGGGUAACCCAAUAAAGAUGGAGCCAGCCAGGGCUACUUCUGGACGAGGAGGCUGGUAUAAAUAAGACAGAAUGACAGGAAGAAGAGGGAGGGCAGAGCCUCAAACUGGGAAUGACCUGGUCAAGACAGGGAUGGGAAGCAAGACAGCCUUCCCAACCAAAGUAUAGCAAACGUAAAAUAAAAUUCAAGUACAUUAAUCUUAAGUGUAUAACUCAAUGACUUUCCCAUUCACCUAAACCCUUGUAACCACCAGCCGUGUCAAGGUAUAGAACGCUUCCCUAAGAAAACAUGUAAACUUUAAACAGAUCAAAUUAUGAAAACCCACCAGUUCUUUUCAGGAAUGAAUCUAUAUUCUCUGGCGUAGCCUUAUAUAACCCGGGAUGUGUUUUAUGUAAUGACUUUAAAUAAACACAGGCCC
ensembl:lncRNA